rnacentral:rRNA from 1 species
GCAAGUCGAACGGUAACAGGAAGAAGCUUGCUUCUUUGCUGACGAGUGGCGGACGGGUGAGUAAUGUCUGGGAAACUGCCUGAUGGAGGGGGAUAACUACUGGAAACGGUAGCUAAUACCGCAUAACGUCGCAAGACCAAAGAGGGGGACCUUCGGGCCUCUUGCCAUCGGAUGUGCCCAGAUGGGAUUAGCUAGUAGGUGGGGUAACGGCUCACCUAGGCGACGAUCCCUAGCUGGUCUGAGAGGAUGACCAGCCACACUGGAACUGAGACACGGUCCAGACUCCUAUGGGAGGCAGCAGUGGGGAAUAUUGCACAAUGGGCGCAAGCCUGAUGCAGCCAUGCCGCGUGUAUGAAGAAGGCCUUCGGGUUGUAAAGUACUUUCAGCGGGGAGGAAGGGAGUAAAGUUAAUACCUUUGCUCAUUGACGUUACCCGCAGAAGAAGCACCGGCUAACUCCGUGCCAGCAGCCGCGGUAUACGGAGGGUGCAAGCGUUAAUCGGAAUUACUGGGCGUAAAGCGCACGCAGGCGGUUUGUUAAGUCAGAUGUGAAAUCCCCGGGCUCAACCUGGGAACUGCAUCUGAUACUGGCAAGCUUGAGUCUCGUAGAGGGGGGUAGAAUUCCAGGUGUAUCGGUGAAAUGCGUAGAGAUCUGGAGGAAUACCGGCGGCGAAGGCGGCCCCCUGGACGAAGACUGACGCUCAGGUGCGAAAGCGUGGGGAGCAAACAGGAUUAGAUAUCCUGGUAGUCCACGCCGUAAACGAUGUCGACUUGGAGGUUGUGCCCUUGAGGCGUGGCUUCCGGAGCUAACGCGUUAAGUCGACCGCCUGGGGAGUACGGCCGCAAGGUUAAAACUCAAAUGAAUUGACGGGGGCCCGCACAAGCGGUGGAGCAUGUGGUUUAAUUCGAUGCAACGCGAAGAACCUUACCUGGUCUUGACAUCCACGGAAGUUUUCAGAGAUGAGAAUGUGCCUUCGGGAACCGUGAGACAGGUGCUGCAUGGCUGUCGUCAGCUCGUGUUGUGAAAUGUUGGGUUAAGUCCCGCAACGAGCGCAACCCUUAUCCUUUGUUGCCAGCGGUCCGGCCGGGAACUCAAAGGAGACUGCCAGUGAUAAACUGGAGGAAGGUGGGGAUGACGUCAAGUCAUCAUGGCCCUUACGACCAGGGCUACACACGUGCUACAAUGGCGCAUACAAAGAGAAGCGACCUCGCGAGAGCAAGCGGACCUCAUAAAGUGCGUCGUAGUCCGGAUUGGAGUCUGCAACUCGACUCCAUGAAGUCGGAAUCGCUAGUAAUCGUGGAUCAGAAUGCCACGGUGAAUACGUUCCCGGGCCUUGUACACACCGCCCGUCACACCAUGGGAGUGGGUUGCAAAAGAAGUAGGUAGCUUAACCUUCGGGAGGGCGCUUACCACUUUGUGAUUCAUGACUGGGGUGAAGUCGGAAC